AUCCAGAUGACUAGUCGCAAAUAGGACGAAACGCACAUCCUGGAU
rfam:Schistosoma rodhaini strain Burundi genome assembly, scaffold: SROB_scaffold0003487